UUAGUUGAACGGCAAGAGUUCCAGAGGCGUGUAUUCCAAAAUUGGAUUAAUAGCAGGCUGAAAAAUUACCCAGAUUCUGUUCAAGUAAAUGACUUGUUUAAAGAUUUAAGAGAUGGAACAACCUUACUGAAAUUAUUGGAAGUCCUCACUG